rnacentral:rRNA from 1 species
GAUGAACGCUGGCGGCGUGCCUAAUACAUGCAAGUCGAGCGAACGGAUAAGGAGCUUGCUCCUUUGAAGUUAGCGGCGGACGGGUGAGUAACACGUGGGUAACCUACCUAUAAGACUGGAAUAACUUCGGGAAACCGGAGCUAAUGCCGGAUAACAUUUGGAACCGCAUGGUUCUAAAGUAAAAGAUGGUUUUGCUAUCACUUAUAGAUGGACCCGCGCCGUAUUAGCUAGUUGGUAAGGUAACGGCUUACCAAGGCAACGAUACGUAGCCGACCUGAGAGGGUGAUCGGCCACACUGGAACUGAGACACGGUCCAGACUCCUACGGGAGGCAGCAGUAGGGAAUCUUCCGCAAUGGACGAAAGUCUGACGGAGCAACGCCGCGUGAGUGAUGAAGGUUUUCGGAUUGUAAAACUCUGUUAUUAGGGAAGAACAAAUGUGUAAGUAACUGUGCACAUC